GCCCUUAUAGCUCAGUGGUAGAGCACCACCUUGGUAAGGUGGGGGUCAGCAGUUCAAAUCUGCUUGAGGGCU
rnacentral:tRNA from 1 species